UGGGUCAUGAAGGAGAAGAUGAUGCAGACGCCCAGCAGGAGGCAGCCGAACAGCAGGAACUCUUUCCACUGAGGAAAUGUCACACAAAAAGUGCGAUACCUGCUCCAGUCCAGCCCCCUCGGCCACAAUCAGAACGAUCACGUUUCCGAACGCGACCGUGAGCAGCCAGCCGGCCUGCAGCACCGACUUCAUGCUGUUCGGAGCCUGGAGGACAAAACGGCAUAUAGGAAACCGAUGGCAGAAUGAGCUGCACGUACCUGCAUCUGGUCGGGCUUAAUUGUGAAGGAUUCUCCCUGUUAUGACACA